AGGACGAACGCUGGCGGCGUGCUUAACACAUGCAAGUCGAGCGGAAAGGCCCUUCGGGGUACUCGAGCGGCGAACGGGUGAGUAACACGUGAGCAAUCUGCCCCUAGCUUCGGGAUAGCUCCGGGAAACCGGAAUUAAUACCGAAUAUUACUACGGCCGACAUCGGCUGUGGUGGAAAGUUUUUCGGCUAGGGAUGAGCUCGCGGCCUAUCAGCUUGUUGGUGAGGUAACGCUCACCAAGGCGACGACGGGUA
rnacentral:rRNA from 1 species